rnacentral:misc_RNA from 1 species
UGAUUGGUUUAUUUGGUUGGCGGGCUCCAUGCUUGUGCAUUGAACCGUUGAAUGAUAAAUCUCUUCAAUGUUUGCUUCAAGAGCACUUUGUGCCUUGGGUGAGUGAUGGUUUUCUGUGUUGGAUUCCUAAUGAAGGCAUUGUUUUCCUUAACUUGUUACUCUCCGCCUAACAAACUUUUGGGUGUUUGGUGGACCUCUGUAGCUAGAUUUCAUGCCCAGCCACAAUGUCAACGCAUUGUUGCCAUGGAGUAGGGACUCUAGUUUGUGCCCUGGGAUGCAGAAAGUUGAGUGGGGACAGGCAUUUAUUUGUCAUGGUCCCAAUGAAGCGUUUUACGCUAUGCACGAAUGACAUUCGAGCACGAGUUGACCCUCCCCUCAAAAAGGAGGGCUCAUGCGUGCCGUUGUCAAUUGAGGAGUGCUACCUGGUUGAUCCUGCCAGUAGUCAUAUGCUUGUCUCAAAGAUUAAGCCAUGCAUGUGUAAGUAUG